CCUACGGGCGGCAGCAGUGAGGAAUAUUGGUCAAUGGGAGGAAGCCUGAACCAGCCAUGCCGCGUGCAGGACGACGGCUCUACGAGUUGUAAACUGCUUUUGUACCGGGGUAAAAUGCUCUACGAGUAGGGUUUUGAAUGUACGGUACGAAUAAGGAUCGGCUAACUCCGUGCCAGCAGCCGCGGUAAUACGGAGGAUCCGAGCGUUAUCCGGAUUUAUUGGGUUUAAAGGGUGCGUAGGUUGGUUGUUAAGUUAGCUGUGAAAGACCGAGGCUCAACCUCAGGGCUGCAGCUGAUACUGGAAGACUAGAGAUCGGAUGAAGCAGGCGGAAUGUGUAGUGUAGCGGUGAAAUGCAUAGAUAUUACACAGAACACCGAUUGCGAAGGCAACUUGCUAGGCCGGAACUGACACUGAUGCACGAAAGUGUGGGGAUCGAACAGGAUUAGAUACCCUAGUAGUC
rnacentral:rRNA from 1 species